CUGUUUUAGUAGAUAUGAUUAGUGUUAGUAUUACCCAAGAAGUACAUUUGGAAUGAUCAUUAUCCCACUGAUAAUGUUAUUAAUAGAUUUUAUGUUUAGAAACAUUUUUUUUAUGCAGGACCGAGAUGACUUUGAGGUUCGACAUACCCUGGUGAAAAAACUUCUAGAAGAACAUGGGCAAUCUUUAGUAAUAGCCCUGAUCAAUGCCUGUUUGUUUUGUCUCCCUACAUUUAUGUCAGCAGACGUCAGUGAAGUUUUGUAUGAGCUGAUGAUUAUUGACCGGCCUAUGUUUUGUCUAUGGCUGGAACAUACAUUAAAGGCUUUACCAACAGAGAGUAGCGGAGGUGCCAUCACUGCCACCAA
rnacentral:sRNA from 1 species